rnacentral:misc_RNA from 1 species
CAUUAUGCAAGCUUUUGAAUAAUAACUUCAGUGAGUUGUGAUAUAUAACUGAAAAUUAACUUAACGUCCAGAAAAUCUCUUGCGGCCCAUAUAAUGUAACCGCUUUUAACAUUGUAUGUACAGACAACUCAACAACUAGAUCUUCCAUCAGUUUACUUUAGUCCAAGUGAAAACAGAAUAGGGGGGGACAAAAGACGAGACGUUAGCUCAAAAAUUGAAAUCUUUAAUAUUUAUUUCAAACAAGAUUUGACGCUGACGCUCCUUGUGUCCAAAAUCAAUCAAUUUCAUCAGACCCCAUCAGUAGUGUUGUCUUAUAGAAGAGAAGACUAACACUAUUGUCCAAGAUUUCCAAGAAGUCGCUCUACAGCAGCAUGAACAUUGCCACCGGAGGCAGUCAGUGCCCGGAUAUUUUCUUGAGUGUCAAAGAAACCCAUUUCUUGUAACUGCGUUAGCUGAGUAGCAUAUAAUUCCUCUGGGGGCACAUUAGAUCUGUUAGGGACACCCAAGCCCCCGGUCCCAAGUCCACCAAACAUGUUCAUAAGCAUUUCCAUUCCCGAGUUGUCAAGUGCUGCUCCACCAGCAUUUUGGCCCGGCUGUUGGUUUGUUUGCUGACGCCCAAGUUGAGAUGCAAGUCCUUGCUGGAAAGUCAUAAGUUGCUGCACUGUCUCAGGCGAUGUCAAUUGACGAAUAAAUUCAGGAUUUUGCAUCAUUUCUCUGAGCUGUGGAUUGGAAUCAAGCAUGCUUCUAAGCUGUGGGUUCAUCCCUAAAACCUGGUUCAUGUACUGUGGAUUUGAAAGGAGAGACUGCAUCAUCUGUGAG